rnacentral:sRNA from 1 species
UUAAAAUAUUAGAAAAUUUUAUCUUCAAUAGCAGUAGAAGUCAUCUGUGGUUCUCAGAAUUUUGAUUUGUCUUAAUUUUUAUCCUUUUAGAUUUUCAAAAAUUUCAAGUUUUCAUUUUGUAAUAAAAAUACCAUAAGCAGAAAAAACCCAUGUAAUAACUAUUAAGUUUUAAGAACAUCUGUGAAGGAUAUCAGAAUGGUUCUUGGCUCCAUUCUAAAUUGUAGAGUGAUGAUAUAUUAAGUGUCUUCACCGUGGUAAUUCUGUGCAAUGGCACUUGUAUAUAUGCAUAUCAAACCGCCAUGUUGGAUGCUUUGACUUCCUUAGUCCUCACUUGACAGGGAAGUGUAUUGAAGUCAGGAAAGCUUGUGGGCAUAUGAACUGUGGGCUGUGUGUGCAAACCUGAGUAUGGUGUGCCCAAGCCGUGCUGUGCUCUAGUGGAACCACAGAACCCGGAACUUAAAUAGUAACUGUCAAAUCACAAAGCCCUGAGGUCUGUUGGAAGCUACCAAAAGCUGCAGGGAGGGCUAUGAAGGUCUCAGGUCCCAGGACUCCCUUGAAUCAUGCACGCUUUGAACUCAAAGCGCAGACAGGUGUUUCAUGCUGUGGGUUCCUUAGGAUGUAAGCACCGGGCUCUGAAGGACUACAGUGAAAAUUCUUGAAUCAUCCGAGAGUCUGUGCACUGCCCCUCGCCCACCGUACUUGACUUUCCUGAGGAUGACCUCGAAGGCAAACUGCCUUUACAGAGAAUGUUUCGAGGAUGAAGGACAACUGUAAGAAGCUCUGUGCUGUGCAGGUUUGAAGCAGCCAUGUGAUAAGCAACAUCAUCUCCUUUAUCAUCUACAGCAGAUCCAGCCUUCUCUGUAGCCCCCGGGACUACAGAUGCUAGCUUACGAGAAAUGCUAAGCAACUGAGAGCAUUCCCAGGCACGAGAAGGCAGGAGGCAGCAAUGCCAAGGAGGAUGCUCUGACUUCUCGCAUCUAUGCUGAAGGAGGUGCAAGCAGGGGAGAUGGGCUAGGCUUGCUCUCACCUUAGAGUAGAACAUUCAUUCCUUUCCCCAAGAUUGCCCAGAGCCAUCAGUGGGAAGCCUAAUCCAUUUCAUCUCCCACAUAAUAGUCUGAGAGGUACACCUAGCAUCCUUGACAGGAAGACUGAGGAUGGAAACCAACUACUCCUGGGCCUAGGAGAGAGGACAUGUAUCUAAUCUUCCCAGUUAUUACCUCCUUCUUGAAGCACUUGGCAUGUUCUUCACAGCCCAGAAGAGACUGUACGAACUCAGCCACCUACGACACAGGACAAAAGAGAUGAAUUUAAAACAUACACUUGAAAUAAACUUGGGGGUUUGGAGUAACUCAACUUGCAGAUAAAAAAACACCCCAAGGUCCAAACACUUGGAAUUUAAAUAGUAACUAUCAAAUCACAUUACCAUAUUUUUAGCUCAUUAGACGUGUCCUGUGCCCAAUGUGUUUUUCCAUCCCUUCGCCUACACAGCUGGCCUACACAGAGCAGGUUGAUAAAGGGACAGUGAUGACCUACAUCUGUAUAGAGCUCUGGCACUGGGAGAGACACCUGCAUCUGGUCUUCUUAAUCCAGUGGAAUAGUGGCCUUGGAAAAUGUUAUCACAGGGCCAUCAAGAUAAUAGGAACACUUGCUUGCAGGUUCUGAACAGCAGAUUCUUCCUUUAUGGACUCACCUGGUCCGUGGCAACCAUGCACACGCCAUACGUCUGCGCUGAACUAGACUCCCACAUAAAAGAUGAGGAAACUGUAGCUCAGAGAGGCUUAAUUUAGUAGUCCUCCUUGGCCCAUGAGCAGCAGAGAACUUGAAACUCAGCUUACCUAUUUCUAAGCUCUUGAGUUCUGGAAAUCAUUCUCUUCAACUUAACUUUUCCAUCUUUCCUGAUAUCUCACACACACACACACACACUCACACACACACACACACACUCACACACAUCUACAUACACACCUACACACACCCCUUCUUGUAGUUAGACAGACUGGUGACUUGACUUAUGUGGUGACCUGACUUACAGUGCAGAGAGCCAUCAAGUGUGGCUUCUGGAUAAGUGGAUGGUGUCAAUUCUGAUCUCUGGAUAAGUGGAUAAGCUAUCACCAUGGCUCUGCGUGCUUUGACAGAUCUAGCAGGUUAGGCAUGGGCUGGCGUUAAAAUGCAACUAGAGUAUAUGCAUUCUUGGGGUUACAUUCUUAGGUAAAAUUGCUUUUUUCUCUUUGUACCUCCUGGUUUGACUUGGUGGUAAGCCCCUGCUGUGCUUUCCAUGAAAAGGGGAAGAUCUGGAGCCAAAAAGCUCAAGUCCUUAUACCAACUCUCCACCUUCCUAGAGCCCAGAGAGCACACACUCCCUCUAGGACUCCAGUCAACUCUGCUCCUACAGGGAUAGAAGUGGACACCAAUUGUUGAGGCGACUACUCUUAGAGCUCAGAAUAGUAAGGACCAGCACCAGAAGACACACCUGUGUUCUUGUGGCCACACUUAGUUCAUGGGAACUCAGAAAGUUCAGCUCUUUGGGGACACUUGGCAUGGGCUCGGUAUUUUUUACUUGCCCUGGCACUACAAGUCUGGCUCAGCAGUUAUUUAUGGUUAUCCUUCUAAUGUGGAGGGGAGGAUGGAGAUUUUAGGAAACUUCUUCAUGCAGCCAGUAGGUGCUCUGUCUGCACAGAUAUCCCAGUAUGGGAAGACUUCCGUGCAAGUGUGAUCAGACCAGACUCUGUUCAGCCUAGCAGCUAGGGGUCCACUGGGAGCUCUGUGCUCCCAGAGAGCCCAGGCAGAGGAGGUCUGGUCAGUUUGCAAAGUUAAUCUGAAUGUCUUUUCCUAGAUGGAUAGGAAGCAUGGAACACACAUUGGGUAUCUGCAGGGAGUUGAUGGAAGCCAUGGAAGUGACUGGUCAAAUCCCUUUAAUGAGAAACCGAGAAGUGGUAGCAGCUUUGAAGGAGGCUGAAAAGGGGCUGUAAGAGCUCAGGACGUUGAUGGGUCUGAAUCUUUCCCAGGAUGCUCCUUUGGCUGAGAAUAUCUACCAUGACUGUGUAUGAGGAUUCUGUGAUGAUUGCACCUCUGAACAGGACCGAGCUAUUGUCGAAUCCAAGGUUCAGUCCACAGAGAGGACAAGGGAGAAUGUCCUGUGGGCACAGCUUACCCCUCACACAUAUGACCCGCCACAGGAGAGAUGCAAAGGCUUUUGAGUGGAAAGACUGCAGCUCAGGGAAAGAUCGGGGGUGAGGGGUGGGACUCCUUCAAUAUACACAGUAUUUCCUCCUUCAAUAUACACCGUAUUUCCUCCUUCAAUAUACACAGUAUUUCCUCCUUCAAUAUACACCGUAUUUCCUCCUUCAAUAUACACCGUAUUUCCUCCUUCAAUAUACACAGUAUUUCCUCCUUCAAUAUACACAGUAUUUCCUCCUUCAAUAUACACAGUAUUUCCUCCUUCAAUAUACACUCUAUUUCCUCCUUCAAUAUACACAGUAUUUCCUCCUUCAAUAUACACUCUAUUUCCUCCUUCAAUAUACACAGUAUUUCCUGACUGAUGUGAUGUGUAGAUUCCCAGCAGGCAGCCCAGAAACAGGACAAGUGUGAGCGGCAGUGGGGAGCCUGAGAAGCAGAAGGCAAAUGGGGGAAGGCAAGGUGGUGUGGUCUCCUGGGAUGGAUUUGUGCUUCUGACAGCAGACAGCGGGGAGCCUGAAGUCCUGGUUCUCAGCUUGGCCACAUAUCCCCCUCUCCUGCAGAGACUGCAGUCUGACUGAAACAUGGACUCAGGCCAUGGAGAGUACAAAUGAAUGGAGCUGGACAGGGUCCAAGCACUGGACAUUUAUUUUCAAGCAUCUCAGAAAGAUGCUGGUUGGUGAGGGCUGGGACCACAAGGCAAGGGCAAGCUGUAAAGGGUGAGACUUCAGUGUCUGCCUGGACUCCCGAGGCCACCUUCAGUAGGUAGGAGAUCAGCUACAGCCUAAUAGGAAGCAUUAGGUCAGGAGAGUCAGCUGCCGAGGCAGGGGGUGGUGCAGAAGUCAAAUCCUUCACACUGGACAGGCUGGGAA